UGUGCUUGUGUGUGAGGGAGUUUAUGCCCCUCUCUCUCUUCUCUUCCUCGCUCUCUCUCUUUCUCUCCCUCCUCUCCGCAUUGCAGCAAACGAUGCCAGCUCAGGACGAGGCUCCAGCGGCUGGCAUGUCCUCAGGCUCUGGCACACUCCCGCUGUCACCUCCCAUGGGACCUGUGUAUGUGACUCAGGGCUCCAGCAGGAGGGCUUAUGGAUAUCUGAUAUGCCAUUUGACUGGAGGCAUGCUGCAGUAUGCGGCACAGGGAGAAGAAAACAUGCAGAAACGUACUCAUGUGGCAAGGUCUAGUAAAGAUUGGAAGGAAAACCUGCAUUUCUGUCAUUCCUCUGUAUCCACAGCUGCUCCCUGCAAGUUUCAAGUUUUAAUGGCACAUGCACAUUACAGUGUAAUGCCCUUCUUGCAAGCUCCAAACCCAACAAUGCAGUGAUCAAUAUCAAUGUAGCACUAAAAAUAACACAAGGUAGAACAAAAACACAAUAAAUAAAAAUAAGAAGAACAUGUGAAAGAAGCUACAGUGCCUUCAGAAAGUAUUCACACCCCUUGACUUUUUCCACAUUUUGUUGUGUUACAGCCUGAACCCCAUAAUGUCAAAGUG
rnacentral:lncRNA from 1 species